CUUACACAUGCAGUCGAGCGGAGAUGAGGUGCUUGCACCUUAUCUUAGCGGCGGACGGGUGAGUAAUGCUUAGGAAUCUGCCUAUUAGUGGGGGACAACAUUCCGAAAGGGAUGCUAAUACCGCAUACGUCCUACGGGAGAAAGCAGGGGAUCUUCGGACCUUGCGCUAAUAGAUGAGCCUAAGUCGGAUUAGCUAGUUGGUGGGGUAAAGGCCUACCAAGGCGACGAUCUGUAGCGGGUCUGAGAGGAUGAUCCGCCACACUGGGACUGAGACACGGCCCAGACUCCUACGGGAGGCAGCAGUGGGGAAUAUUGGACAAUGGGGGGAACCCUGAUCCAGCCAUGCCGCGUGUGUGAAGAAGGCCUUAUGGUUGUAAAGCACUUUAAGCGAGGAGGAGGCUACUGAGACUAAUACUCUUGGAUAGUGGACGUUACUCGCAGAAUAAGCACCGGCUAACUCUGUGCCAGCAGCCGCGGUAAUACAGAGGGUGCGAGCGUUAAUCGGAUUUACUGGGCGUAAAGCGUGCGCAGGCGGCUUUUUAAGUCGGAUGUGAAAUCCCCGAGCUUAACUUGGGAAUUGCAUUCGAUACUGGGAAGCUAGAGUAUGGGAGAGGAUGGUAGAAUUCCAGGUGUAGCGGUGAAAUGCGUAGAGAUCUGGAGGAAUACCGAUGGCGAAGGCAGCCAUCUGGCCUAAUACUGACGCUGAGGUACGAAAGCAUGGGGAGCAAACAGGAUUAGAUACCCUGGUAGUCCAUGCCGUAAACGAUGUCUACUAGCCGUUGGGGCCUUUGAGGCUUUAGUGGCGCAGCUAACGCGAUAAGUAGACCGCCUGGGGGAGUACGGUCGCAAGACUAAAACUCAAUGAAUUUGACGGGGGGCCCGCACAAGCGG
rnacentral:rRNA from 1 species